UAUAAACUACAAUAAAAUACAACAGCCGUG
rnacentral:piRNA from 1 species